UACGUAGGGGGCAAGCGUUGUCCGGAUUUAUUGGGCGUAAAGCGCGUGUAGGCGGCCAGAUAGGUCUGCUGUGAAAACUCGAGGCUCAACCUCGAGCUGUCGGCGGAAACCAUCUGGCUAGAGUCCGGAAGAGGAGAGUGGAAUUCCUGGUGUAGCGGUGAAAUGCGCAGAUAUCAGGAGGAACACCGGUGGCGAAGGCGGAUCUCUGGGCCUUACCUGACGCUCAGGUGCGAAAGCUAGGGGAGCGAACAGG
rnacentral:rRNA from 1 species